rnacentral:rRNA from 1 species
GUACAUCCAGAGAACUUAGCAGAGAUGCUUUGUGCCUUCGGAACUCUGAGACAGGUGCUGCAUGGCUGUCGUCAGCUCGUGUUGUGAAAUGUUGGGUUAAGUCCCGCAACGAGCGCAACCCUUAUCCUUUGUUGCCAGCGGUUCGGCCGGGAACUCAAAGGAGACUGCCGGUGAUAAACCGGAGGAAGGUGGGGAUGACGUCAAGUCAUCAUGGCCCUUACGGCCAGGGCUACACACGUGCUACAAUGGCGCAUACAAAGAGAAGCGACCUCGCGAGAGCAAGCGGACCUCAUAAAGUGCGUCGUAGUCCGGAUUGGAGUCUGCAACUCGACUCCAUGAAGUCGGAAUCGCUAGUAAUCGUAGAUCAGAAUGCUACGGUGAAUACGUUCCCGGGCCUUGUACACACCGCCCGUCACACCAUGGGAGUGGGUUGCAAAAGAAGUAGGUAGCUUAACCUUCGGGAGGGCGCUUACCACUUUGUGAUUCAUGACUGGGGUGAAGUCGUAACAAGGUAAGCGUAGCGAG